CGACUGUGUUCCUAUUGUCCAAUAAACCUUCCGUUUUACUGGCUGGCUGAGAGUCACAGUGAAUCUCAGGAAGAGGGGUGCAGGCCCCGGACUCCCCCACACUCCGUGACACCUCCCGAGCCUUUCCUAUGGUGGUCAGCCAACCCCCCAGCUUUGACUGGUCUGCAUCUGGGGCAGAACACUCCCUUUGCUGCUCCGGAGCAUAAUAGAAGCUAGCCUCUUUGCCCCAGAGGGUAGCACACAAGGAUCUCUUAGCACAGUCCACAGAGCCCCCUUAUCUGCUCCUCAAUGACACCAGCAUAAACCAGGAAGGAUUCCAAGGCACUAGGGUGAGCUGGGUGUAAACCAGGAAAAUUUGGUCCAUCUCAUGCACCUUUGUUUUUCUUCAGUUCACUGGGAUAGUUCCAUCCUGCUGGGAGAUUUACUGCACUUGAACUUCUCAAGCUGCCCUGUGUCUGCUUGUUUAGAAAUUUCAAUCUCUCAUAGAUUCAUAGACUGUAAGGCCACUAGGGACCAUUUGAUCAUCUAGCCUGACCUUUUGAAUUUAUCAAGCUUUAACUAUCAACUGUUGGUUCUUGUUAUGCCUUUCUCUGUUAGAUAAAAGAGCUCUAGUGAAGGAAGGCCCUGUGCUGUUUUGUUACAUAAGCAUCUUUGGAAAAGGAAAAAACCCAUAGUCUUCUAAAGGAAAGACUCAAUGCAAAAAAAGAAUGUAACAUGUCUAUUGCUUCUCUCUACUCCCUUCCCCCUUUGGGAGUCAAAAGGCUGUAUAUCAAAUUCAGUCUGUGCAGAAAGCAAAAAUUCAUUUUUAAUUGUAUUUGCUGGGUUGGAGCUACAAAGUUAGGUCUCUCAGUCUACAGGGGUUCUGCCAGGGAUGACCAAGAGAGGUGUGCACAAAGAUCAAGGGAAAAUGGCCUUUUCAUAGAAACUAAACUGUUAGCAAAUUUACAGCAGAUUUUGGAAUCACUUUAUGAGGAAUACAAGUUGUAGGACGCUAUCUAGAAUAUUACCAUUUCUGCCCUUUCUUUAUUUGGCUAUUUGCCUAUGCAAUUACAGUCAUUAAACAUGAAAUUAGGAAUAUACAAUUUGUGUGUACAACAGCCUAUCUAAGUUAUCAGGAAUUCUGGUCUCUAAAGUAUAUAUGUUAUGGUUCAGAGUCAACAGACCACUGAGAUGGCUCAAAACUCUCAAAGCUGUUGUUUCCAACAUUGGUUCACAUUUGUAACUUUGUUUUCACAACUAUAAGGGCUAUUAAUUGUCUUUCAAUGCAAACUUUCAUUCUGCAGAAUCUGAAGCUGAAGAUGUUGUGAUGGCCAAAAGUAUAACUGGGUUCAAAAAAAGAACUAGAUAAGUUCACGAAGAAGAGGUCCAUCGAUGGCUAUUAGCCAAGAUGCUGAGGGAUGCAACCCCAUGCUUUCUGAGUGGAGAGAGGAAAUGUCAGAACCCUUCCCAUUAUGAACAAUAAUGUGUGGCUGGAGCCAGUAAAGAUUAAAGCACAGAGAUCAUGAUGGCUAAUUGGCAUAUUUAUUGACUUUUUGUUAAGGACAAAACCCAUGUGUGGGGAUUCAUGAAGCGUGCAUGAUGAGGGGUGGGCACUCCACUCCUAGCUGCCAUGGCCUCAUACUCCAAGGAGACAGUUUAUCGAUACUUCUCAGUCAGCACUGAAGAAAUCUUGGACAGGAACUUGUCCCAUGCAGCAUGGACUUCUGGGGUGAAGUCAUUGGGAAAGUGGGCAGCCACGGAGCACAGAAUGCAAUGGGAAAGCAGCUGCAAGAGAAAAGAACAGGAGGAAAUCAAAUGGAACUGCCUGAAAUAACAUUCCUCUGGCUAGUGAGACUCUGGCCUUUGAAGAAUCAAGCAGGAAUCUCCUUGCUAGUUACACAGAGUCACCUCAUGUGGAUAUGAGCUAUUGGCUAAGAAAUCCACUUCCUGCCUUCUGGACUAGAGAAAAGUCAUUGCUUAACAUUGCUCCCUCUUUCCCCUCCACAAAAGGAGAAUACAAAAUAACUGUGAAUAACCCUUGCAUUUAUAGAAGGCUUUUCAUGCAGGAACCUCAGAGCCCUUGGCCAAGAACUGUCAGUAUCAUAAUCCCCAUUUUAGAUGGGGAAGAUGAGGCACAGAGAUGUGAUGUGACCUGCUCAAGAUCACAUAGUGAGUACAUGGCAGAACCAGAGCUACUCAUUCCUAGACCAGUGCACAGCCUCCUGGACCACAGCUGCACUCUCAGGACUGACUGUUCCCAGCAAAGGCAGGAGUCUUAGCAAGCCCAAGAGGGAACAGCCAAGGACUUCCACAGCCACGCUGAUUAAAGUGAAGCUGCAGCCACAUUUCCAAGGCUCAGCAUGAUAACAGCUUCACUGCUGAGCUGCAAGGCUUAGUCCCUGCCACACUCUGCACUAUAGGGGAAAGUAUUCAGUGCUUAAGCUCCCAUCAGCCGAAGUGGCCUGGGCCCACAGACUCAGUGACCAAUGGACUCUCUUCACUCUCUGCACUUCAUGUUGGAGUUCACUCACCUUGAAGUUCACUGGAUCGACUCGGAGGAUGUAAGCAUGCAGCUCGCUAAGUGUGGCCAAGGCACCUGUAAUGUUAUCGAUGUUCUUGACAGCCUCACCAAUAGCACCCAGGACCUUAGAGCCAUGGUCAUGAAGCUGAGCAGAACCUUGGCUGAGAUCGAAAUGAGGAAAAUAGGUCUUGGUCUGGGGGAAGCUUGAAAAAAGCCUGGAAGAGAACAUUAGAAAUGGCUUCAGCAAUGGAAAUUGCACUGAGCGGCUGACACUGAGAAAGGGGGAGCCAUGACCCUGGAUAAAAGGACUCCAUUCUGCUCUUCUAGUCCAAAGCAUUAGAACUGAUAAAGAAUGGAUUAGAGAAGAUCUGUGAUCCUUAGACUGUUAAUGUCCUACUGUAACCUGUCCUAAACUAUGAGCUGAACUGGUGUGGGAAUAUUCAAAUGUUACAGGCCAGCAGUUCCACAGAAGCAGUUUGUAACCUUAUUUCUUUAUUUUAGGAAAAGAAUGAUAUCAGACCAAAUUAAUCUCUGGUAUAACUGCAUAAAUCAAUAGAGUCACACCAGGGAGGAUUCUAACCCACAGUGAAUCAUCAGAUGUAGUGGGAGCCUAGAGGCAAAUGUAGAUUUACAUGCUGAAAUGUAUUUUUAAAGCAUUUUAAACUUACUUUCUUUUCUUCUUUGGACUAAAUAACCUAAUACCUCCACACAGCCACCUGCACCUUCUGUAGUAUAUUUUCUUCAGCAGAACCAAGUUUUAUUUCCUAAUGAUAGUUAGCAAAAUCCAUAAUCUUACAGUGAAUACUCUAUAUACAGAGAUAUUUCAUUGUCCAGAAUCUUUGCUUUACCCACUAUAAGUGGGGCUAUACAUCCAGAAAGGACCAUCAAAAGAUUUAAAAUUAACUGGCUGAAUAACACAAACCGGGGACUAUUCUUCACCUGAAUAAACCAAGCCUGGUUCAAUCAACUUCCAGUUAUUUCCCU